GCGCGGCCUCCGCCGAGUCCGGUACGCCCCGUGGGGCCCGGAGCCGGGGACCCACCGAACUUGGGGUGAAUCGGCCGGAUUUCCGAGCCGUAGGGCAACCCUUCCGAACCACCCGCCCGAACCCGACAGCUAACUCGGUAGGCGGAGCACGGAAGGAGU
rnacentral:sRNA from 2 species